GAUGAACGCUGGCGGCGUGCCUAAUACAUGCCAGUCGAGCGAACAGACGAGGAGCUUGCUCCUCUGACGUUAGCGGCGGACGGGUGAGUAACACGUGGAUAACCUACCUAUAAGACUGGGAUAACUUCGGGAAACCGGAGCUAAUACCGGAUAAUAUAUUGAACCGCAUGGUUCAAUAGUGAAAGACGGUUUUGCUGUCACUUAUAGAUGGAUCCGCGCCGCAUUAGCUAGUUGGUAAGGUAACGGCUUACCAAGGCAACGAUGCGUAGCCGACCUGAGAGGGUGAUCGGCCACACUGGAACUGAGACACGGUCCAGACUCCUACGGGAGGCAGCAGUAGGGAAUCUUCCGCAAUGGGCGAAAGCCUGACGGAGCAACGCCGCGUGAGUGAUGAAGGUCUUCGGAUCGUAAAACUCUGUUACUAGGGAAGAACAAAUGUGUAAGUAACUAUGCACGUCUUGACGGUACCUAAUCAGAAAGCCACGGCUAACUACGU
rnacentral:rRNA from 1 species